rnacentral:lncRNA from 1 species
CUUCACUCACAUCAUCCUCACUCGCCAUUGUAACAAAGCCAAAACCACGUGAUCGACUUGUCUCUCUGUCAUAGACUACCCGGGCAUUCUCAACCUUACCAUGUUCGCUGAAAAGUUGCUCCAAGCUAGAAUUGUCAACAUCCCAUGGCAAGUUACCAACGUAGAGUCUUAAACCAGGAGCACCAGAAUCAAAGGAACGUGGUGGGCGUUCAGGCCGUGGUGCUCCUCUUGGAGCAGCCUUAUUAACAGUCAACGCUCUUCCAUCUAAUUCCUGUCACACAAAGGAUGAAUUAGAUCCAACGGAAGAAAUAUUAAUAAUACAUGAAUUCCUUCAUGUUACUUUUCUGUAUUCAUUGUUUGGAAAAAAGAAAAAACCAUAACACUUUUGUACAUGCUGAAAGGUGGAUAAUCAAACAAAGUGAUACUGUAGAAACUAGAAAGUAUUCAAAUCAUCAAAUGUCAAGAAGCAUAAACUACCAACAACAACUUUUGGUUUAAGCAUUUUUACCAACUUCUGGCCAACAUUAAAAUCUUGAAGCAUUGUAGUAUGAUGAGAGCAAAGCAUUAUUAGAACAAGAACAAUGUACAAAGACCAACCGCAUAAUAUCUAAUAAUGUUUUCGCCAUCUCAUCUAUACAACACAACAUCAAUUUUGAGGCAGUUACAAGCUGUGCAAUGCACCAAUAUAAAUGUAAAUGGCAUUCAUUUUCAUUAAAGGAUGAAAUGAGAUCGAAAAAAACUACAACUCUAAAUAGAAGAAAACUGUUAAACUAUCUGAUUGAUAUGUUUAGCUUCCUCUUCAUUAGAGCUUGUAGGAUAUAAAUUAGUGAAAAGGUUAUCAUUUAUUGAAGUGAUAUUGAUUGUCAAUUUACAAGGGAAUUUGAACUCCAUCCCUUGAAAUGAUAAGAGAAAACUUUUAUCAAUGAGCUGAGACAUCAUGGACAACUACCAUGUACACAUUUGUUUAUACUUUUACGCUAAUAAUCCAUUAUCUCCUUUUCUCCGAUUUUCAUAGAGAUAUAUUCCCCUUCUCAGUACUGAAUCAAUUAAACAGUAAAAAAUAUAAAGAGGAAAACUUACAUAGCCACUGAACUUGUUGACAGCCCUCUCAACUUCUUCAGCUGUACUCAUUGUUACAAAUCCAAACCCACGGCUACGGUCAGUCUCCCUGUUAUAAAUUACCUGAAAAUCACAAUUCACAACACAUGAGCUACAUUACACAUUGCACUCCACAUUGCACUUCACAUCAUAACCUCAACCACAAUUUAGAGUAUCCUCUACCAUGAUAAUAAUACUACAACAUAACAUCAAUAAUAAUACACAAUUAAACAUAAUCUAGGCUAUUCUCUCAAAUAUUUUCUUUCAUUUGGUACUAACCCUCUCCCAGAAAGGGCCCUGGUAAUCCAGAGUUUGGCCACAAGAUAAGUAAAGUCUCGCAAACUAAUUCGUCGUAACGAAAGCUCAUUAACCACUUGAGUUCAGUUAAUUGUUAUUAGUUUCUUUCAUUUUCUAUGAACUCAAUCAUCCAACAAUUAUGAAAUCUAAAAGAUAAGGUUUUUGUGUCUCACAAUUAAACAUAAUCUAGGCUAUUCUCUCAAAUAUUUUCUUUCAUUUGGUAAUAACCCUCUCCCAGAAAGGGCCCUGGUAAUCCAGAGUUCGGCCACAAGAUAAGUAAAGUCUCGCAAACUAAGAAAGCUCAUUAACCACUUGAGUUCAGUUAAUUGUUAUUAGUUUCUUUCAUUUUCUAUGAACUCAAUCAUCCAACAAUUAUGAAAUCUAAAAGAUAAGGUUUUUAUGUCUCAAAAAAAAUAAAGAUAAGGUUUUUAUAAAAGCUGAAAAAAAAAAUAAGAACUCACCUCAGCAACUUCAACAGUUCCAGCCUGCUCAAAAAGCUCAGCCAAUUUGUCACUAUCAACAUCAAAAGGCAAAUUCCCAACAAAAAUCUUCAAAUCUUCAGAAGAUUCCUCAAAUCUCCCAACAUCACCAUCACUCUCAGCUGUUUCAGUUUCACCAACCCAAGCAGUUUCACCUUGAUUCUCCCAUGCUCCAUCUUCUUUCUCUUCCUGAGUCCAAUCACUUGUCUGUGCAACAAAUGUAACCAAAGAAGAAUCACGUGUUCUUCUGUUACUAACAGUGAGAGAAAUAGAUUGUGAAAACCUUGAAGAAUUGUGUGUUGGGUUUUGUAUCUUGAAGGACUUAGCAGUGUUUGAAAUGAAUGAGGAUUUGGUUUUGGUGUAGAAGAGUGAAGGUUGUGAGAGUAAACAUGAUUCAGCCAUUGUUAGAGAUUUGAAGGAAGUGAUAGACAUAGCUGAAUUUUUGAGAGAAAAAAGGAUGAAGGAGAAAGGAACAACACAACACAAACCAAACACUAUCGUUGUUUUUGUGUGGA